rnacentral:rRNA from 1 species
CCCUGCCAUUUGUACACACCGCCCGUCGCACCUACCGAUUGAAUGGUCCGGUGAAGCCUCGGGAUUGUGGUGAGUUUCCUUUAUUGGAAGUUCGCCGCGAGAACUUGUCUAAACCUUAUCAUUUAGAG